CCCUACGUGGCCAUCAGUUCAGUUCAGUCGCUCAGUCGUGUCCGAUUCUUCGUGGCCCCAUGGACUGCAGCAGGUCAAGCUUCCCUGUCCAUCACCAACUCCCAGAGCUUGCUCAAACUCGUGUCCGUCAAAACUGGAGAAGAGCUGGGUCAGGAGGAUGCAGGAUUCCCAGGUGGUAAAGAGCUCUCACCUGCCGCUGCAGGAGACAUAAGAGAGGCAGGUUUGACCCCUGGGUCUGGAAGGUCCCCAGGGACAAGGGCAACCCACUCCAGUGUUCUUGCCUGGAGACUCCUAUGGAUGGAGGAGCCUGGCGGGCUGCGGCUCAAAGCAUCGCCAUGAGUCACACAUGACAGGAGCGACCUAGCCUGCUCACAGGGGGAAGUGAGUGAGGCCCUGAGAGACGUCUGGACCUCAGAACGCACGGUCUGGAAGGUCCUGCCCCUUUCUCUCUCCGGUUUCUUUGGGGACCGAAGUCUUCGCACCUUCAUCCCAGCUGUGACUCUAGAGAUGUAGGCUUAUGGCCUCAGCUCCCACUGCCACCAAGACAUGCCUGAAUCCCAGUUCCCAGGAGGAUGCUGCUUGGCCCAUCUUCUUGACCACGGCCACCCAGGCCACAUGCCCUUGGCAUCUGAGCAGCCAGCUGCACUUUGUCCAGCGUCCACCCUGUGACAGAUAGCCUGGGCGGGGAAUGGGGGCGGGGACUACGGUGGCUGCACAGAGGGAUGGCUCUUUGAUCAGAGGAGCUGUGGGCAGGAAGGCGCUAUCAACACAGAGGACACCAAGGAGAAGGCAGGGAGCUUUCAUUUUGGUUUUUAUUAAUUCUCACAACUCCCCACGCAGACAGUGGGAGGAGCCGGGUCUGCAGGGUCAGCAGACCCUCCGAUGAACAGAAUGUGCAACUCUUUCCAGCGUGAUUAGCUUAGCUUUUUUUUUUUUUAAUCUGUGAAUUGUUGGGUCAAUUCCCAACAUCAUGAAGAGCCAGGUUUUGUUCAUCUUGGCGUCCAAAUGAUGUUUUCGAAAUUGGAACUAAAAUAAAG
ensembl:lncRNA